rnacentral:rRNA from 1 species
UGAUCCUGGAUCAGAAUGAACGUUGGCGGCGUGGAUUAGGCAUGCAAGUCGCGCGAGAAACCAAUUAGCUUGCUAAGAGGUGGACAGCGGCGAAAGGGAGAGUAACGCGUGGUUACGUGCCCCGAGGUCCAGGAUAGCGUUGGGAAACCGGCGGUAAUACUGGAUGAUAUCUUCGGAUCAAAGGUGUGAUUCCGCCUUGGGAUCGGACCGCGUACUAUUAGCUUGUUGGUGGGGUAAUGGCCUACCAAGGCUGUGAUGGUUACCGGGUGUGAGAGCAUGGCCCGGCUCACUGGGACUGAGACACUGCCCAGACACCUACGGGUGGCUGCAGUCGAGAAUCUUCGGCAAUGGACGAAAGUCUGACCGAGCGACGCCGCGUGCGGGAUGAAGGCCCUCGGGUUGUAAACCGCUGUCAGUUGGAAGGAAGGGCCUGUGCAGAGCAGGUCUUGACCGAUCUUCAGAGGAAGGACGGGCUAAGUUCGUGCCAGCAGCCGCGGUAAGACGAACCGUCCAAACGUUAUUCGGUAUCACUGGGCUUAAAGCGUGCGUAGGCGGCCUGGAAGGUGAGAUGUGAAAGCCACGGCUCAACCGUGGAAUUGCGUUUCAAACCACCAGGCUUGAGGAAGACAGGGGUGUUGGGAACUUAUGGUGGAGCGGUGAAAUGCGUUGAUAUCAUAGGGAACACCGGUGGCGAAGGCGCAACACUGGGUCUUUUCUGACGCUGAGGCACGAAAGCUAGGGUAGCGAACGGGAUUAGAUACCCCGGUAGUCCUAGCCGUAAACGAUGAGCACUGGGUUGAGGGGACUUCCACAUCCUCUCGGCCGUAGCGAAAGCGUUAGUGCUCCGCCUGGGGAGUAUGGUCCCAAGGCUGAAACUCAAAGGAAUUGACGGGGGCUCACACAAGCGGUGGAGGAUGUCGCUUAAUUCGAGGAUACG